GGGGGUGGGGGUGGGGUUCCGGACACAGCUGGGUAUGGGGUGUCCCUAAGCUUGUUUUGGCAUGCUAAGUGGGCAGGGCCAGGGCCAGCUUGUCCCAGUGCAUGGUGUGGCUAGCUGUGGGUAGGCUGGGUCCACUGGCUGCAAGAUUGUGGUUUUGAGUCUGAGGUCUGGUACCCCUCUCCCCCACCUCCCCUUAUACAACCUGUCCACUGUUAUCCUACCCAGUAAGUUGUGUGGCCUGAGGUGUCCCAGCACUGGCUCCUAACAGCUGUUGGGUGGGGCCAGGUCUUGGCACUGAUGAGCGAGAGAGAGGAUCCCACAACAGUGCCUGCCCAUCCAGUGUCCAUGUGGCUGAAGGGUCUUCUGCUGAUGGCUGUGUCCCUGGGGUCAGCUGCAGCCACCCAUCCUGCUACCUCUCCGAGAGACUCCCCAAGACCAGCAGUUGUAGAAGAUCUCUUCUGGUUGGUUCUGGUCUGCUUCAUUGAUGUUGUUCUGCAGGUUUUGGCAUGCUGCACUCAAAACUUCUUUGGCUUCUUGGCUGGUUCACCUGUGGUUGAGCCCAAGGUUGGUGGCAGAGACAUCAGUGGUUUAUUAGACUGAGGAUGCUACAUAGCCAAAGGUUCUCAAAGAACACCCAACUGUCAACAGCAAACAGCAGAAAAUCUCACACACUCCUUUCCCCACACUGAAGCUCACCAUUCCUGAUAGCCACCAUGGGCCUCCUGCUGCUGAACCAAGAAGUGUGAUGAUUUCUGGACAUUUAUCAGUCCCCAGAGACAAACCCUCCCAUUUGUUGGAAAUGCAACUCGCUCCCCUCUACUCAGGGAGCUGGCUUUUUCUUGCCCCUUCUUUGUGCACAUGCUCUUUGAAUAAAAAGCUUUGCUUCCCCAA